UGGCAGGGAGAGCAUAUGGCUUCUCCACAAAGGGUGAGCUGGGCUGCAGUCCACAAAAUGCCGGGUCAGAGCAAGCUGGAGAUGACUGACAGGGAGAACCCUCCUGGGCUCAGAGUGUCUCAACGCCAGGAACCUCAUUAGGACAUCUUCCCUCCGCACUGUGACUUGACACUUCUUUAUCAGAUGAUUCUGCAGGCUGGAGAGCAAUGGCGUGACCUCGGCUCACUGCAACCUCUGCCUCCCGGGUUCAAGCUAUUCUCCUGCCUCAGCCUCCGGAGUAGCUGAGAUUACAGCACUACCCGACCACCACUCUGGGCAGCAUUACCACCAUCACCAGGAC